AUGUUGUUUGUUUGCUGUUCUCAGGUGGGACGGUGUUUUAAAUUGUGAAGCACGUGGGAUGCUUUUCAAAAUAAUUGUGUUUGGAAUCCCGCAGAGAAAAUUCUAAAGAAGUUGGAGCCAUCUAAAAUACAAACUUGCUCAUUCAGCAAACACUGGAUGAGGCGUCCUCGGGGAACAGGAGGGGGUCUGCAAUGGUGUAUCUCCCAUCCAACCUGGCAUAGCCUUUUACAGCAGUAUACAGACUGAAUCCAAGUGACAACGUCUGCUGUGGCAUUCCUGCUCUAAUCAUCAGGAGCGGAGAAGAUAAGGUGUGAGUAAGCUCUGUGGGAAUCGAGUUUCAGCCCUGUCAGGUGUAAUCAGAACCGUGGUCUUAAAACAAAGGCCUUCACUCCACCUCCUCGGUCAGAGGACAGUUCACUUCCCCAUCCCCCCCAGACACUAAAAGGGAAAAGAAGGAUCAAGUCUGCGCGUGAGAGCAAAAUAAAACCAAACUGAACA
rnacentral:lncRNA from 1 species